rnacentral:lncRNA from 1 species
UUUUGGUUAUAAUCUCUGUGUUAUUCAUCUUCUGCAAACUUCAAGAUCAUUGGAACAUUUCAUUCAUAGUCUCAUUAUGAUUAGUUACUACUGUAAUAUAAGUGUGUUCUAACCAAAACCUCUUAUACUCCUGCAUUGUCUAUGAAGUUCCUGUUAGUCACUGUAAGAUCCCUAUUGCACACUGUCGGACUCUGAAAGCAAAAACUAUAAAGCAAAAGCUAUAAAACUAUAAAUCGAGUACUUUGACUAUUAACAAAACAAAGAACAUAUUAUGAGAUGUAAAAUUACCAUACAUAUUAUGCAACUCUGAUUUGGAAGAAUACCUAAAUGAGCAGAAGCCUACAAUUCUCAAGAACUAUUCACAAAUUAACUAGAAACGAGAGAAAACAAAACACCAGCUGCUACAGUCUUGAAACGCCACACAAACAGCUAAGUUAAGCAUGUCUCACCAAAGAAAUUAGUCUUUCUCUGUGGAGGAAUGUGGUAAUAGAAAUAUCAGUUUUCAACUCUUUACUUGUAACAAGACAUUUUUUCCACCGUUGUAACACCGUUGCUUUUGGAACAAGCUUUGUCUUUGACUAUUUUUCCCUGACAUCUGGUUAUUUCAUUCUGUUGAUUCCAGAGAAUCAAUAAUUUUGCCAAAUAAAAAGUACUUUUUAAGCAGGUGUUUUCAGCAAAACCCAACCUACAUGUCCAAAACUCUGCUAAGCUGAUCACACACGUGGCUGUAUGUUUACGUGCCCUCCCCAGCUGGCACCAUUGUAGAUAUACCAUCCAUCACCGUGUCUAACCUCUAAUUCUGGAGCAGAACUCACUGUCAAAGUUUUUGGCUCCCAUAGAGAAACCUGAAGCAGACAUGGGGCCCCCUGGCAGCUGAGGGAGGGACACUGCUAUUUUACUGUAUAAGCUAAUCAGGAAAUCCUUUGUUUCAUUCUUUACUUUUGCAGGAAUGAAUUUGGAUAAGAGGGUACAAAAACCUGUUCUUUCACUGGAUGAGUCAUCCUGAGUGAUGAAUCAUUUUACCCCCUUCUGUGCUUCCAUUUCCCUACCUGCAAAAUGGGUACUUUGUAAAGUACUAAAUGCUCUGGCCAUUAAAAACAAAAAUAUUUCAUAAGAGCUAAAAUUGCUGUUACGGGGGUAGUACUAAAAGCCAUAGAAAUAUCAGAAACAUUGCUUUUC